UACAGAGACUGCAAGCGUUAUUCGGAUUCACUGGGCGUAAAGGGUGCGCAGGUGCCAAGUGUGUUAGGCGAUGGAAAGCCCCGGGGCUUAACCCCGGAAUUGCACCUAAAACUACUUGGCUAGAGCAUUGGAGAGGGGAGCAGAAUUCAUGGUGUAGCAGUGAAAUGCGUAGAUAUCAUGAGGAAUACCAGAGGCGAAGGCGGCUCCCUGGACAAUUGCUGACACUCAGGCACGAAAGCGUGGGGAGCAAAAGGG
rnacentral:rRNA from 1 species